CUCAUUUCAAUAUUAAGAGUGUAUAUUUAAAUAUAGUGAAUAUAUAACACGUGUUCUUAGGGCAAUUUUUGAAUUUUUAAAGGUGAUUAUUUUUAAAAAUAUUAGCUAUUUUUACAUAAUUUUUGGAUAUUUCUACUCUGGAGAAGCCCCCUAUCCGUACAUACCCCAUUUAUACGGAAAUUCGGUUUUUUUUUACACCUCCGCCAAAGUAAUCGGAAUCGUGCCAAGUGUGUUACUGACACUAACAUUAUGUCAAUAAAAUUUUGAUUUAAAAAUAUCUCAAUUUCUUGAGUAUGACGGGCUAUGCCAUUGGCAUUCCAUAUUGUUAAUCUUAUGCCGGUAUUCUGCUUGUCACGAUUGUCUCAUGUCUCUAAUUGAGACAAUAGUAAUUUAGUGACUCUGUUAAAACUUUUUCUUCAUAAUUGCACAGUACAAUUAUUGAAAACUAAUACUGAAAUAGUUUAUAAUAAAUGCUUAACAUAUGCAUUUUAUCUGAAUCAAUUGUUAAGUUAAUAUGAAAAAAUUUAACAACACAGUAAUCGAUUAACACAUGUGUUCAUCUUUAUAUUUGAUAAUAAUGGAAAAGGAAGGUAAGUAAUUGUAAACAAUAUAAAUUUCAUUUUUUUAUGAUUAUUAUAAUAUAUGCAUCAUAUAUCUUUUUUACAGAUCAUAAUAAAGUGUUGCGCACCUCGAAGGAGCAAAUAGAGUGCUAUCUUAUCUUUGUGCGGGUUCACCCGGAGAUAAAGUUACACAAAAAUUACCCUUCGCGGCCGAAAAGAAUGGCGGAGCUUUGGGCGGAACUCUCCGUGCAAUUAAAUGCCCUAAAAGGGCCCACCCGGGACCCCAUGAAAUGGAGAGAGAAUCUGAGCCAUUGGAAAAACCAAGUAAGGUCACGCGCAAGGAAAGCCAAGGCGCACAAGCUGGCGACAGGUGGCGGACCCAUCUCAACAAUUGAGCUCUCUGAAACGGAGCAGAGAGCGUUGGAUACGUUGGGACAAUCGCGGUUGAUGGGUUGACUGAUGUACCAGCCAUUGGCACAGAGGAAGAAGUAGUAUUCACAGCUGCACCAUCGCCCCUGAAUACGACUUCGGAUGCGUCCAAUGACUGCACUCCGUCAUCGUCCCGCAGCAAAAAAAUGACGACGGACGAAAUGUUCCGCAAUUAUAUAGAUGUAAUGAAAGGGAAAGCCGAGGAGGAAAGAGAUUUCCGUAUUAAAACGUUAGAUUCAAUCAACAAACACACGGAGUCUAUCAAUAAUUUAGCGGCAGCGAUGGUGUCGCUUGCUCAGACCAUUGUGAAAAAAACAGAAGAGAAAAAGUGAAAAAUGUGUACAUAUGUAUAUGAAUUAUUUAUUGUUAUGUUUUUUUGUACAAAAAGUGAAAAAGAAAAAUGUUCCUUUUUAUGUAUGUUCCUUUUAUAUAUAUAUAUAUAUAUUUUAUUGUUAUGUUUAUUUAAUUUAAAAAUGAAAUAAAUGAAUUUUGAAUUGA